rnacentral:rRNA from 1 species
AUGAAUGGCCGCGGUACUUUGACCGUGCUAAGGUAGCGCAAUCAAUUGGCUUUUAAUUGGGGCCAUGUAUGAAUGGAGUAACGGGGUUUAGCUGUCUCUAAAUUAUUUUAUUGAAAUUACUAUUCAGGUGAGAAAGCCUGAGCCGAGAAAAAAGACGAGAAGACCCUUAGAGUUUUUCUUAAGUUAAACAAUCAGUGUUUAAAGCAGUUUAGUUGGGGCAACAUAGGAGCAGAUUUUUUUUAUCUCCUGAAUGCACAAGCCGAUAGUAGUAAAAAUGUAUAAACUACCUUAGGGAUAACAGCAUAAUUUUAUUAGUAAGUUUGUGACCUCGAUGUUGGACUAGGAAACUAAAAGGCUAGCCGCCUUUUCGGUAAGUUCUGUUCGAAC